CUCGGGAAACUGAGGAUAAAACUCGAUAGGAGAUGGUUUCUGGAAUGAGCUAUCUUUUAAAUUCGUGCUUAAGGAUGAGACUGCGGCUGAUUAGGUAGUUGUUGAGGUAACGGCCCAACAAGCCAAUGAUCAGUAAGGGCUCUUAGCGGAGGUGCCCUGAGAAGGACUCUUAGACACUAGUCCUAGCCCUACGGGGUGCAGCAGUUGGGAAUUUUUUGCAAUGCGCGCAAGCGUGACAAAGUGAACCAAAGUGUUUUUCUCUUUAGAAAAACUUUUGCCAGCUGUAAAAAGGCUGGCGAAUAAGGACUGGGCAAGACCGGUGCCAGCCGCCGCGGUAAUCCCGGCAGUCCAAGUCGCAGCCACAAUUAUUGGGUCUAAAAUAUCCGUAGCUUGCUUAAGAAGUUUCCUGUGAAAUCUUACAUCUUAAGUGUAAGGCGAGCAAGAAAUACUCUUGAGCUAGAGACUGGUAGGCGUAAGAAGUACAUUAGGGGUAGUGGUAAAAUAUUUUAAUCCCUGAUGGACUCACAGUCGCGAAGGCGUCUUACGAGAACAGUUCUGACAGUGAGGGAUGAAGGCUAGGGGCGCAAAAGGGAUUAGAUACCCCUGUAGUCCUAGCAGUAAACACUGCUCACUAAACAUUAGUACCUCCUCGAGAGGUAUUGGUGCUGUAGCGAAGGCGAAGAGUGAGCUACCUGGGAAGUAUAGUCGCAAGGCCGAAACUUAA
rnacentral:rRNA from 1 species